AUACUUACCUGGCAUGGGAGAUACCAUGAUCAUGAAGGUGGUUUUCCCGGGGCGAGGUUUAUCCAUUGCACUCUGGAUGUGCUGACCCCUGUGAUUUCCCCAAAUGUGGGAAACAGCUACAUAAUUUGUGGUAGUGGAGGACUGUGUUUGCUCUCUCCCCUG